rnacentral:rRNA from 1 species
UACAUGGGGUGCAAACGUUGCUCGGAAUUAUUGGGCGUAAAGCGCACGUAGGCGGUUCGUUAAGUCGGAUGUGAAAGCCCUCGGCUCAACUGAGGAAGUGCACCCGAAACUGGCGAGCUUGAGUACGAAAGAGGAUCGCGGAAUUCCCGGUGUAGAGGUGAAAUUCGUAGAUAUCGGGAGGAACGCCGGUGGCGAAGGCGGCGAUCUGGGUCGAUACUGAACGCUGAGGUGCGAAAGCGUGGGGAGCAACAGG